AGUAUCUGUGGAUUAAAGGUGGCUUUUGGGCUGUCGCAGAUGGAUGAGCCUGCGUUGGAUUAGCUAGUUGGUGGGGUAAGGGCCUACCAAGGCUACGAUCCAUAGCUGAUUUGAGAGGAUGAUCAGCCACAUUGGGACUGAGACACGGCCCAAACUCCUACGGGAGGCAGCAGUGAGGAAUAUUGGACAAUGGGGGCAACCCUGAUCCAGCAAUGCCAUGUGUGUGAAGAAGGCCUUAGGGUUGUAAAGCACUUUAGUUGGGGAAGAAAGCUUUGAGGUUAAUAGCCUUGAGGAAAAGGACGUUACCCAAAGAAUAAGCACCGGCUAACUCCGUGCCAGCAGCCGCGGUAAUACGGGGGGUGCAAGCGUUAAUCGGAAUUACUGGGCGUAAAGGGUCUGUAGGUGGUUUGUUAAGUCAGAUGUGAAAGCCUAGGGCUCAACCUUGGAACUGCAUUUGAUACUGGUAAACUAGAGUACGGUAGAGGAAUGGGGAAUUUCUGGUGUAGCGGUGAAAUGCGUAGAGAUCAGAAGGAACACCAAUGGCGAAGGCAACAUUCUGGACCGAUACUGACACUGAGGGACGAAAGCGUGGGGAUCAAACAGGAUUAGAUACCCUGGUAGUCCACGCUGUAAACGAUGAGUACUAGCUGUUGGAGUCGGUGUAAAGGCUCUAGUGGCGCAGCUAACGCGAUAAGUACUCCGCCUGGGGACUACGGCCGCAAGGCUAAAACUCAAAGGAAUUGACGGGGACCCGCACAAGCGGUGGAGCAUGUAGUUUAAUUCGAUGCAACGCGAAGAACCUUACCUGGUCUUGACAUCCUGCGAUCUUUCUAGAGAUAGAUUGGUGCCUUCGGGAACGCAGUGACAGGUGCUGCACGGCUGUCGUCAGCUCGUGUUGUGAAAUGUUGGGUUAAGUCCCGCAACGAGCGCAACCCCUAUUGAUAGUUACCAUCAUUAAGUUGGGUACUCUAUUAAGACUGCCGCUGACAAGGCGGAGGAAGGUGGGGACGACGUCAAGUCAUCAUGGCCCUUACGACAGGG
rnacentral:rRNA from 1 species